rnacentral:rRNA from 1 species
GACAGAGGGUGCAAACGUUGUUCGGAAUUACUGGGCGUAAAGCGCGUGUAGGCGGCUGCGCAAGUCGGAUGUGAAAUCCCGUGGCUCAACCACGGAAGUGCACCCGAAACUGCGUAGCUUGAGUCUCGGAGAGGAAGGUGGAAUGCUUGGUGUAGAGGUGAAAUUCGUAGAUAUCAAGCGGAACACCGGUGGCGAAGGCGGCCUUCUGGACAGUGACUGACGCUGAGACGCGAAAGCGUGGGGAGCAAACAGG